rnacentral:tRNA from 1 species
GCGGAAUUGGUGGAAUUGGCAGACACGCCAGACUUAGAAUCUGGUGCUUUUAGCGUACAAGUUCAAGUCUUGUAUUCCGCA